rnacentral:lncRNA from 1 species
AUUAGAAUUCCUCUGAGCCUAAACAUUACCCUUCCCAAACCCAUGUAAACCUGGCCCAAAUCUUGCUUAAACCCGCCCCACACGCCCAAAAUACACGAUAGUCAUCAGAGACCCCAAAAAUCACAAAAUCCCUAAUUCUCUCAAUGCGUACUGCGCACUGUUCAUCUUCUUCUCCAUCUCAGUCACAUUCAACUCACCAAAUCCCAAGUGAAUGAGCUCAAAUUCACCCCACGCGUUCCCUCUCCCUCCUCGUCACCAUAUUUGUAACGACCUCUGACAGAUUCUCUCGUCCCCAUCCCUUUCUCACGUGAUGUAAGCCUCUAGAAGGCAUAUGCUGGAUGAAUGGGGAGUGUGUGAUCGUUUUGGAUUGGUCCCACCCCUUCAUUCAUCAGGUGUUUUCCUGAUAACUAUAUGGAAUUUUGGGGAUAACAGGGGAUGGAUUUUCAGAGAGAUUUUCGGGGAUUCGGGACUCUGGUAAAAACUUUGGAGAAAAAGGUUGAAAGAUUUUUUCAAACUUUUGGUUUUCUGAUUCCAUUUUCUUUUUUAAAAGAGUUCUUUCAAAGGUUAAGAGAAGCAUACACAUUUUUUUUUAAUUUUUCUGAGUCCAUCCUAGACUUCUAAAGAGAUGAAAAAACUGAGUUGAAGUUCAAGCUUGGGUUUACUGUUGUUGUUCUGCUGAGUUGUUGUUAAACCUCGCUAGUAUUUGAAGGCAAAAAGCGAAUUAUUAAGGCUUUAAUUAUUAACGAAGUUUGCAACUUCACGCUUGAUUUUCUUUUUCACCAUGUAACACUAUUUCUUUUUAAAAAAUGUUCUUGAGCUGUGCAAUCUAUCUAGAAUGGUAUGAUUGAAUUUCUUGCUGGGGAAUCUCUUCUCACUGGUGUGACGAAUUUGAGUAUGUUCAGUUAGUAAAGUUGAGUUUGAGGGGUUGUACUCUAUGCUUAUAUGAUUUAACUGUUAUUAUGGCGUCGAGUUUUCAUUUGAGUUGAAUUUUGUCGUUUUCGAAUGAACGUUUGUUUUCAGCUUGGAGAUGUUAUUUUUCUUGAAGAUGUCACACUAUUGUCAUUUUAAGUCAACUGUUUCUCUUAACGUUUGCAAAGCUGUCCUGUUUUGGUUGUUUAGUCUGUUAGCUUAAGAUGCUCUAAAAUUGGGAUUUUGAAUCAUGUUUUGCUUGAUUUUGAAUGUGAUAGUGUUAGUAUGAAGUGAUGCAUUGAGGUGUAAUUGGUUUCUGUUUGAAUAAGCUCUCAUGAGAAGGAUGUCGGAGUCAUUUGUUCAUUAGUCGAUUAGCUCGAGUAUGCUGAAGUUUGUUUUGUGCGCUUAAAGCGAUCUAGUGUUUGAAGCUAUCCUCGUCAUUUUAUUGUUAGCAAACCUGUUAAAGCUCUAGUGUUUGAGGUUCUGUUGUUCAGGUUAUUGAAUCAA